GGGAUUGUAGUUCAAUUUGUCAAAGCACUGCCCUGUCAAGGUGAAAGCUGUGGGUUCGAGCCUCGUCAGUCCCG